AUUUGGGAAUUCCAGCUUUCCAGGAGGAUGUGGGAAGGGGCUGGAAUGCAGGGCAGCGGGAUGUGGGAUCCACGGAGGGAGCCCCAUUCCAGAGGGAGGAUAAUUGGGAUAAUUGGGAUAAUUGGGAUAACAGCCGUGACAGGGAGCCCUGGGGUUGUUGGGAUCAUCCAUGGCCAGGGAAUUCCUGCCUUGUCCAGCUGCUGCUUCCGGGAUCCCGGAAUUGUUUGGGAUUUGUGGUGCGGGGGAGGUGGGAAGAGGGAAAACUGGAUCCAAUCCAGGGAUCCAGGGGAUGGAAGGGGCUUGUUCCCAAAUCAGUUGGGAUUGGAAGGGGUUUGUUCCUAAAUCCUUUGGGAUUGGAAGGUGUUUGUUCCCAAAUCAUUUGGGAUUGAAAGAUGUUUGUUCCUAAAUUUUUUGGGAUUGGAAGGUGUUUGUUCCCAAAGCACUUGGGAUUGAAAGGUGUUUGUUCCUAAAUCAUUUGG